UCACCUACGGGAGGCAGCAGUGAGGAAUAUUGGUCAAUGGGCGGGAGCCUGAACCAGCCAAGUCGCGUGAGGGAUGACGGCCCUAUGGGUUGUAAACCUCUUUUGCCGGGGAGCAAAGUGCCGCACGUGUGCGGUUUGGAGAGUACCCGGAGAAAAAGCAUCGGCUAACUACGUGCCAGCAGCCGCGGUAAUACGUAGGUGGCAAGCGUUGUCCGGAAUUACUGGGUGUAAAGGGAGCGCAGGCGGGAAGCCAAGUCAGCUGUGAAAACUACGGGCUUAACUUGUAGACUGCAGUUGAAACUGGG
rnacentral:rRNA from 1 species